UGGGGAAUUUUGGACAAUGGGCGCAAGCCUGAUCCAGCCAUGCCGCGUGCGGGAAGAAGGCCUUCGGGUUGUAAACCGCUUUUGUCAGGGAAGAAAUCUUCUGAGUUAAUACCCCGGGAGGAUGACGGUACCUGAAGAAUAAGCACCGGCUAACUACGUGCCAGCAGCCGCGGUAAUACGUAGGGUGCAAGCGUUAAUCGGAAUUACUGGGCGUAAAGCGUGCGCAGGCGGUUUUGUAAGACAGAGGUGAAAUCCCCGGGCUCAACCUGGGAACUGCCUUUGUGACUGCAAGGCUUGAGUGCGGCAGAGGGGGAUGGAAUUCCGUGUGUAGCAGUGAAAUGCGUAGAUAUGCGGAGGAACACCGAUGGCGAAGGCAAUCCCCUGGGCCUGCACUGACGCUCAUGCACGAAAAGCGUGGGGAGCAAAACAGGAUUAGAUACCCUGGUAGUCCACGCCCUAAACGAUGUCAACUGGUUGUUGGGAAGGUUCCUUCUCAGUAACGUAGCUAACGCGUGAAGUUGACCGCCUGGGGAGUACGGCCGCAAGGUUGAAACUCAAAGGAAUUGAC
rnacentral:rRNA from 1 species